AUUGAACGCUGGCGGCAUGCUUUACACAUGCAAGUCGAACGGUAACAGGCCUUCGGGUGCUGACGAGUGGCGCACGGGUGAGUAAUGCAUCGGAACGUACCCAGAGGUGGGGGAUAACGCAGCGAAAGCUGUGCUAAUACCGCAUGUGAUCUGAGGAUGAAAGCGGGGGACCGAGCAGCAAUGUUUGGCCUCGCGCCUUUGGAGCGGCCGAUGUCGGAUUAGCUAGUUGGUGAGGUAAAGGCCUACCAAGGCGACGAUCCGUAGCUGGUCUGAGAGGACGACCAGCCACACUGGGACUGAGACACGGCCCAGACUCCUACGGGAGGCAGCAGUGGGGAAUUUUGGACAAUGGGCGCAAGCCUGAUCCAGCAAUGCCGCGGGCGGGAAGAAGGCCUUCGGGUUGUAAACCGCUUUUGGCAGGAACGAAACGGUGUCCGCUAAUACCGGGCGCUAAUGACGGUACCUGCAGAAUAAGCACCGGCUAACUACGU
rnacentral:rRNA from 1 species